rnacentral:rRNA from 1 species
GAUGAACGCUGGCGGCGUGCCUAAUACAUGCAAGUCGAGCGAACGGACGAGAAGCUUGCUUCUCUGAUGUUAGCGGCGGACGGGUGAGUAACACGUGGAUAACCUACCUAUAAGACUGGGAUAACUUUGGGAAACCGGAGCUAAUACCGGAUAAUAUUUUGAACCGCAUGGUUCAAAAGUGAAAGACGGUCUUGCUGUCACUUAUAGAUGGAUCCGCGCUGCAUUAGCUAGUUGGUAAGGUAACGGCUUACCAAGGCAACGAUGCAUAGCCGACCUGAGAGGGUGAUCAGCCACACUGGAACUGAGACACGGUCCAGACUCCUACGGGAGGCAGCAGUAGGGAAUAUUCCGCAAUGGGCGAAAGCCUGACGGAGCAACGCCGCGUGAGUGAAGAAGGUCUUCGGAUCGUAAAACUCUUUUAUUAGGGAAGAACAUAUGUGUAAGUAACUGUGCACAUCUUGACGGUACCUAAUCAGAAAGCCACGGCUAACUACGUG